AUGGUAUCAGAGUCGGAAAUGACUACUCAAACAAACUCCUCCUCCUCCUCAUCCGCUCUCAAAAUUCUUCUUCUACAUCCGCUUUUACCUCCACUGCCAUUGCUCAUACUUUUGCUGUCAAACUCAAUUUCUCCAAUUACCUUUCUUGGAAAACUCAAUUUAUUCCGCUUCUAAACUAUCAAAAUCUGAUGCAUUUUGUUGAUGGCUCUACUCGACCUCCUCCAAAGGAAAUCAUAACUGAGACAAAUCCACCCGUGCAUUUUCCAAAUCUAGAGUAUCAUGACUGGUCUAAGAAGGAUCAGAUGUUAAUGUCUUGGCUUUUUUCAUCUCUAUCUGAAGAAGUGUUCUCUUAUGUUGUGGGGCCUGACUUCUUCAGCUCAAGUUUGGAAUGCUCUAGGAAAUGCUUUUGGGUCUAUUUCUCAAAAUAGACAACUUCAGCUACAUAUAGACCUUCAAGAGUUAAAGAAAAAUGAUCUCUCUGUUUCACAGUACUUAUAAAAAGUAAACCGCUUGCCGAUGAAUUAGGUGCCGUCGGAAGAUCGUUAUCUACAGCUGAGUUCAAUGCAAUCAUCUACAGAAAUAUUGGAAGUGAAUUUCACCCUAUUAUCACAGCCUUAAAUGUUAGGCCGGAACCUGUUCCUUUCCAUGAACACCAUGGCCAACUAGUUACUCAUGAAAUUUUGUUAAAAAGCAACUCUGAAAACCCAGUAAUCAAUCAUGUCAAUGAGCCACCACUCUUAUCCACACUGAGACCUCACAAUGUCCAUACAUCCUACAGGCAUAGUAAUCUCAAUAAUCGCCCAAUUAUCAGAAUAAGGGGCCUUGCCAGAUAUGCGGUCUUCAUAACCAUUCUGCUGAUAGAUGCAGAAAUCGUUACACUUCAAGAUCAAGGGAACUACAAUCAAUAUCAGAAACCGUUACGUCUUGCCGGUCCUCAGUUCUCAAAUCAAGCCAAUCUUGCUUAUUAAAAUGGAGCACCAUGUUCGGCUCAAUCUGAUACCACAGGCUCGACUCUUCCAUGGUUCUCGAAUACUGGUGCUACGCAUCAUGUUGUUCCUGACGUUUCCAAUCUCAACAUCAAUGCUGAUUAUCGAGGUGGUAAUCAACUCCAAGUUGCUGAUGGUCAAGGUUUAAAUAUUCAUCAUACGGGCUCUACUACAAUUUCCUCAAAUUCUAAACCUCUUUACCUUAAUAAUGAUCAGGAACCCAAGAAGUACUACUCCGAGGACUGAGUUAACAUGGUCUCUACAAUUUACCAUCUCCAUCAAAGCUUCAAGCUCAUAUUGCACAGGCUUCCUUGGAAGAUUGGCAUGCAAGAUUAGGACAUUCUAAUAUGCAAACUAUAAAUAAAGUUGUUCAUCAAUUUCAUUUGCCUUGUUCUUUUUGUUCAAGUUUCUUGAAUUUCAAAUGUUCUUCAUGUUAUCAAGGGAAACUUAGUAAAUUUUCGUUUCCAUCUA